CACGCAGGCGGUCGUGCGCGUUUCGCGUGACAGCGGAUGGCUUAACUGUCCGAGGAUGCGAAAGACGGCACGGCUGGAGGGCCAGAGAGGGACACGGAAUUCCGGGUGGAGUGGUGAAAUGCGUAGAGAUCCGGAGGAACACCGCAGGCGAAGGCAGUGUCCUGGCUGGUACCUGACGCUGAGGUGCGAAAGCCAGGGGAGCGAACG
rnacentral:rRNA from 1 species